rnacentral:rRNA from 1 species
UACGUAGGUGGCAAGCGUUGUCCGGGAUUAUUGGGCGUAAAGCGCGCGCAGGUGGUUUCGAAAGUCUGAUGUGAAAGCCCACGGCUCAACCGUGGAGGGUCAUUGGAAACUAAUAGACUUGAGUGCAGGAGAGAAAAGUGGAAUUCCUAGUGUAGCGGUGAAAUGCGUAGAGAUUAGGAGGAACACCGGUGGCGAAAGCGGCUUUUUGGCCUGCAACUGACACUGAGGCGCGAAAGCGUGGGGAGCAAACAGGAUUAGAUACCCUGGUAGUCCACGCCGUAAACGAUGAGUGCUAAGUGUUGGAGUCAAAAGACUUCAGUGCUGCAGCAAACGCAUUAAGCACUCCGCCUGGGGAGUACGAUCGCAAGAUUGAA